rnacentral:rRNA from 1 species
GGGUGCGAUUAUACCAGCACUAAUGCAUCGGAUCCCAUCAGAACUCCGAAGUUAAACGUGCUUGGGCGAGAGUAGUGCUAAGAUGGGUGACCUCUUGCGAAGUACUCGUGUUGCACCCC